rnacentral:pre_miRNA from 1 species
ACACAAAUUACCCAGAGGCCUUGUUAAAAUGAAGAUUCUGAUCUGAUAGGUCUGGGUGGGGCCUGAGAGUCUGCGUUUCUAACAAGGUCCCAGGUGAUACUGAU